GCGCUCUUAGCUCAGUUGGUUAGAGCGCUACCUUGACAUGGUAGAGGUCACAAGUUCGAGUCUUGUAGAGCGCACCA
rnacentral:tRNA from 1 species